GUUUUGUGGCACUGCCUUCCUUUCUGCUAACUUACCAUCACUUUGACCAAUCCAUCGGAAGGAUGAAGUGUACCUUGGCAUUCCUUGUGUUGUCCAUGGUUGCCCUCAUGGCUCAACCAAGCCAAGGAUUUUUGCAUCUAGCUUUGGGAGCUGCUAAACUUCUUGGCGAUCUGUUUGGCAGGAAAAAGGCUGAAUUUGCGGAAAAACAAGCUGACCAGCAGCAGAUGGACCAGCAGCAGAUGGACCAGCAGCAGAUGGACCAGCAGCAGAUGGACCAGCA